UACGUAGGGUGCGAGCGUUAAUCGGAAUUACUGGGCGUAAAGCGUGCGCAGGCGGUCUUGUAAGACAGAGGUGAAAUCCCCGGGCUCAACCUGGGAACGGCCUUUGUGACUGCAAGACUAGAGUACGGCAGAGGGGGAUGGAAUUCCGCGUGUAGCAGUGAAAUGCGUAGAUAUGCGGAGGAACACCAGUGGCGAAGGCGAUCCCCUGGGCCUGUACUGACGCUCAUGCACGAAAGCGUGGGGAGCAAACAGG
rnacentral:rRNA from 1 species